UACGUAGGGUGCAAGCGUUAAUCGGAAUUACUGGGCGUAAAGCGUGCGCAGGCGGUUUUGUAAGACCGAUGUGAAAUCCCCGGGCUCAACCUGGGAACUGCAUUGGUGACUGCAAGGCUCGAGUAUGGCAGAGGGGGGUAGAAUUCCACGUGUAGCAGUGAAAUGCGUAGAGAUGUGGAGGAAUACCGAUGGCGAAGGCAGCCCCCUGGGUCAAUACUGACGCUCAUGCACGAAAGCGUGGGGAGCAAACAGG
rnacentral:misc_RNA from 1 species